rnacentral:rRNA from 1 species
AGUGAACGCUGGCGGUAGGCCUAACACAUGCAAGUCGAACGGCAGCACAGUAAGAGCUUGCUCUUACGGGUGGCGAGUGGCGGACGGGUGAGGAAUACAUCGGAAUCUACUUUUUCGCGGGGGAUAACGUCGGGAAACUUACGCUAAUACCGCAUACGACCUACGGGUGAAAGCAGGGGAUCUUCGGACCUUGCGCGAGUGAAUGAGGCGAGGUCGGAUUAGCUAGUUGGCGGGGUAAAGGCCCACCAAGGCGACGAUCCGUAGCUGGUCGGAGAGGAUGAUCAGCCACACUGGAACUGAGACACGGUCCAGACUCCUACGGGAGGCAGCAGUGGGGAAUAUUGGACAAUGGGCGCAAGCCUGAUCCAGCCAUACCGCGUGGGUGAAGAAGGCCUUCGGGUUUUAAAGCCCUUUUGUUGGGAAAGAAAAGCAGCAGGUUAAUACCCCGCUGUUCUGACGGUACCCAAAGAAUAAGCACCGGCUAACUUCGUG